GUUUGAUCCUGGCUCAGAACGAACGCUGGCGGCGCGCCUAACACAUGCAAGUCGAACGGCCGAUGGGGCUUGCUUCAUCGGCAGUGGCGGACGGGUGAGUAACGCGUGGGGACCUGCCUUUCGGCUCGGGACAACCGUGGGAAACUACGGCUAAGACCGGAUACGCCCUGGGUGCAAAUCCAGGGGAAAGAUUUAUCACCGAAAGAUGGACCCGCGUCCGAUUAGCUAGACGGUGGGGUAAUGGCCUACCGUGGCUUCGAUCGGUAGCCGGCCUGAGAGGGUGGCCGGCCACACUGGGACUGAGACACGGCCCAGACUCCUACGGGAGGCAGCAGUGGGGAAUCUUGGACAAUGGGGGCAACCCUGAUCCAGCGACGCCGCGUGGGUGACGAAGGCCUCGGGUUGUAAGCCUUUGUCCGGGACGAGUGAUGACGGUACCCGGACGAAGAAGCACCGGCUAACUCCGUGCCAGCAGCCGCGG
rnacentral:rRNA from 1 species